GAAGAAGGAAGGCACUUAAACCGCUCUCACAUCAAGCCAAGGUACAAGGAAGAAAAGGAACACGGAACACCUAAAACUAACCUCUUGUUUGGUUGGGCUCGUCUGAAUUAGGAAUCCGACCCAAUUAUGCCAGAUUAGCUAUUCUUUCCUUUGGUGGCGAUUUUGGGCUAGGAUUAGUUAUUCCAAAUCCGGGCCAAUUCCAGCUAAAGCCAUGUUUGGUUCGCUUGAAAUCAGAUUCCAUUUCGUUCGUAUUCCGUGCGGAAUACUCAUUCUAAUGUUUGGGAAACGGGCAUGCGGAAUAGCUAUUACGGGUCGGAAUGGUUUUCAUACUUAGGUAAGGAAUAGGUGUGCUUCCCUUCUACAUGCUGAAUAGCAUUGCCCCAUCAGGAAUAAGUGUGAAAAAAUCGAAAAUAGCCUCAUCUUUAUCCCCAAUUUCUAUAUGAUGCCCUCGCUCUCUCACGAUCCUGCUGCCCCCGAACCCUAGAAUCGUUGAAGCCUUCUUAAACCUGAGACACCGCCGAGGGUGGAGCUGCCUCUCUCGCUUUGAUCGAAUUGCCAGCGAUCAACAAUUCAAUCGGGGCAGAGAAGCUCAGUUGGGGCUCUUCGUGGCCGUUCCCGGAUAACCUGGGAGAGGAGUGAUGAGUGUGUGGUCGAAGAAUAGGUUCUCAUUGAGCAAUUCCGAAGAGGAAGACGCCGCAGGGGGAUCAAGUGGAGGUGGAGGUGAUGGGUCGAUGGGUUGAGGCUGGGGCUGGGGAACAAGAGGAGGGUCUGAAAGCUGGGAAGGAGUAAAGAGGACCAUGCCCUCGAACAGGGAGUCCAUGUCGUCCUCCAUUGACGCCGAUUGGGAGCUUUGAGCUCUCUACCGCCGAUGCUCUAAGUGACCUCAUCAGACUAGUCUCGGCACGAAGAUGCUAUUUCUGGCUUCGAAGUUGACUAAUAUCAUGUCUUUCCCAAGAAUUGGCGACUGAAAGUCCUGACGAAACCUUAGCCACGAUCCACGGCUGAGGACGAGCCUCACCUGGAACCCACAAGGCUUAUCUUGGCUUUGCAAUGUCUAGGCAACCUCAGAAGGAGAUCACUCAGAGCUCUCGAGCCCACAAGGCUCGCUGUCAAAUGCACCUCUCGUCGUCAAUGCUCUCGACCCUACAAGGCCCUGACGCCGGAAUUUCAAGUUCGACGAGAAAUAUGAACACGAAAAGGCCAAAUCUGCCUUCUUGUGUAGAGACCAUUGGGGAGAGGUCUCUUCGAGGCUCCGGGGUGAUGGUUGGUCGGUGUCGAUAGUGAAAAUGCUAGCCGCUGGAAUGUGGUGGUUGCUUGCUACUUUACUGUUUGUCGAAGCCAAGGGUUAAAAAGAAUAGGGAAAUUUACCUAAAA